rnacentral:rRNA from 1 species
GGCAUGCCUUACACAUGCAAGUCGAACGGCAGCACGGGGGCAACCCUGGUGGCGAGUGGCGAACGGGUGAGUAAUACAUCGGAACGUGUCCUGUAGUGGGGGAUAGCCCGGCGAAAGCCGGAUUAAUACCGCAUACGCUCUACGGAGGAAAGGGGGGGAUCUUAGGACCUCCCGCUACAGGGGCGGCCGAUGGCAGAUUAGCUAGUUGGUGGGGUAAAGGCCUACCAAGGCGACGAUCUGUAGCUGGUCUGAGAGGACGACCAGCCACACUGGGACUGAGACACGGCCCAGACUCCUACGGGAGGCAGCAGUGGGGAAUUUUGGACAAUGGGGGCAACCCUGAUCCAGCAAUGCCGCGUGUGUGAAGAAGGCCUUCGGGUUGUAAAGCACUUUUGUCCGGAAAGAAAACGCCGUGGUUAAUACCCGUGGCGGAUGACGGUACCGGAAGAAUAAGCACCGGCUAACUACGUGCCAGCAGCCGCGGUAAUACGUAGGGUGCAAGCGUUAAUCGGAAUUACUGGGCGUAAAGCGUGCGCAGGCGGUCCGCUAAGACAGAUGUG